rnacentral:lncRNA from 1 species
GGCAUCUCAUAUUUUCAAUUCAAUUCCCAUCAUUUUCAGUUUGGCAUAUAAACAGGUCCAUUAUAUAUCUAAUCGGAUUUCAUCUGGGAAAAGUACAAAACUUGAGAGGGAGAGUGUACGAGCUUUGGAUGCAUGCACUGGGCCAUGCAUAUCUAUAUAUAUAUUCUUCCAGGAGAUUAGGAGCCAGCCAAGAAGCAGCUAGCAAAAGUUUAACCCUUAACACACAACCGACACCUUAAAAAAAAAAAAAAAACAAUAUCAAACGUUGUUCAUUUAAUGCGUUACUGCAGCUUGAAAUAUUUGAGAGAAUGUCAAAAUCUAUCUACAUGUUCAUCUUCCACCCAACAUAACACAAAUUUGACUAUUCGCCACUACAUUAGUCUCUCAUGAUAAGUAUACAUACCUAAACAACUCCACUUGCCCCCGUGUGAGAGUGAGAGCUAACUAAGAAACUAUUUCAAAUGAAUGGUACGUACAUUGGUUUUGUUUUUCAAGAGGCGAAUUUGGUGCUCGUAGACUAGUUCGUUUUGCCUUGUCUUUACCUGAUGUAUCUUCGUGGUAUUAGAGGAUUCUCGCGAUAUCGUUCAAGACUAGUUCGUUUUGCCUUGUCUUUACCUGAUGCAUCUCCAUGGUAUUAGUGGAUUCUCGCGAUAUCAUUUAAGAUACCCUGACUGAACAUUCGUUUUGAAAAAAAAAAAAUUAGUUUCAUUAUUAUUUGUGAUUAGAAACGGAAAAGAAGAAGAAAAAAAAAAAUCACAAAAGGGUGGCAUUUUGCUUAAAAGAGAUGAUACUGCCAAGUAGCUGUAAAUGCAAAAGGUUUAGAUCAAAUCACACUAACAUAACAUAUAUACUCUUUCAAAAUGAUAUGGAUUUGAAUUGUAGCUGAAGUGGAGAAUAA